UACGUAGGGACCGAGCGUUGUCCGGAUUCAUUGGGCGUAAAGAGCGCGCAGGCGGCUUGACAAGUCGGGUGUGAAAUCCCGGGGCUCAACCCCGGGACUGCAUUCGAUACUGUCAGGCUAGAGGUAGGUAGGGGAGAUCGGAAUUCCUGGUGUAGCGGUGAAAUGCGCAGAUAUCAGGAGGAACACCGGUGGCGAAGGCGGAUCUCUGGGCCGAUACUGACGCUGAGGAGCGAAAGCUAGGGGAGCAAACGGG
rnacentral:rRNA from 1 species